rnacentral:rRNA from 1 species
GAUGAACGCUGGCGGCGUGCCUCAAACAUGCAAGUCGAGCGAGGCUAUGAAUUACCGCAAGGUAAGGCAUAGCCUAGCGGCGAACGGGUGAGUAACACGUGGGUAACCUACCUGGGAAGACAGGGAUAACGAUUCGAAAGGGUCGCUAAUACCUGAUAAUAUCCAUCUGCCGGAUGGCGGAGGGAAGAAAGGGGAAACCCGCUUUCAGAUGGGCCCGCGUCCCAUCAGCUAGUUGGUAAGGUAAAGGCUUACCAAGGCGACGACGGGUAGCCGGUCUGAGAGGAUGUACGGCCACACUGGGACUGAGAUACGGCCCAGACUCCUACGGGAGGCAGCAGUUGGGAAUCUUAGGCAAUGGACGAAAGUCUGACCUAGCGACGCCGCGUGAGGGAAGAAGGCCUUCGGGUUGUAAACCUCUGUCAUGGGGGAAGAAGGAAGUGACGGUACCCCAAGAGGAAGCCCCUGCUAACUACGUG